GGAAUUGACGGGGAGCACCACGAACGGGUGGAGCUUGCGGUUUUAAUUGGAUUCAAACGCCGGAAAUCUUACCGGGACCGACAGCAAUAUGAAGGCCAGGCUGAAGACUUUGCCGGAUUAGCUGAGAGGUGGUGCAUGGCCGUCGUCAGUUCGUACUGUGAAGCAUCCUGUUAAGUCAGGCAACGAGCGAGACCCACGCCCACAGUUGCCAGCGUACUCUCUGGAGUGACGGGUACACUGUGGGGACCGCCGCUGCUAAAGCGGAGGAAGGAAUGGGCAACGGUAGGUCAGUAUGCCCCGAAUAUCCCGGGCUACACGCGAGCUACAAUGGUUGGUACAAUGGGUAUCUACCCCGAAAGGGGACGGGAAUCUCCUAAAACCAAUCUUAGUUCGGAUUGAGGGCUGCAACUCGCCCACAUGAAGCUGGAAUCCGUAGUAAUCGCGUUUCAAAAUAGCGCGGUGAAUAUGUCCCUGCUCCUU
rnacentral:rRNA from 1 species